UACGUAGGGUGCGAGCGUUAAUCGGAAUACUGGGCGUAAAGCGUGCGCAGGCGGUUUUGUAAGCCAGAUGUGAAAUCCCCGGGCUUAACCUGGGAACUGCAUUUGUGACUGGCAGGCUAGAGUAUGGCAGAGGGGGGUAGAAUUCCACGUGUGAGCAGUGAAAUGCGUAGAGAUGUGGAGGAAUACCGAUGGCGAAGGCAGCCCCCUGGGCCAAUACUGACGCU
rnacentral:rRNA from 1 species